GAUGAAGAACGUAGCGAAAUGCGAUAAGUAGUGUGAAUUGCAGAAUUCAGUGAAUCAUCGAAUCCUUGAACGCACAUUGCGCCUUCUAGUAUUCUGGGAGGCAUGCCUGUUUGAGCGUCAUUAAACCUCUCUCAAGUAUGAUUACUUGGAUGUGAAGGAAGAGUACCUUAAACUUAAGGAGUGUUCUCCUUUGAAAUUGAUUAGCAGAUGGUAAUGUUAUUAAAUCCCUGAUGUUGUAAGAAAUAACAGUGGUUUUGUAGACUAUUAUCUAGCUUUAAAUUAUAAUUUUUAUUAUGGUUGACCUCAAAUCAGGUAAGGAUACCCGCUGAACUUAAGCAUAUCAAUAAGCGGAGGA
rnacentral:misc_RNA from 1 species